UUUUUGAAUUUUUCCCCAUUCUAUUUCCUUUAAAUAUUCUCUUGGGCCUCAUGCCCAUGUUCUUUCUGUUCCACACCAUCAAAACCACUUGUUUCAACCCCUUUUUUGAAUCAUAUUUUAUUUUGGUUAUUUUCAUUUAUUUUAUUUUCUUUGUUUUUUUACUUCUUUUUAUUUUAGUUCUAACCUUCUUUUAAUCAUUUC
rnacentral:lncRNA from 1 species